rnacentral:rRNA from 1 species
UACGGGGGGGGCAAGCGUUGUUCGGAAUUACUGGGCGUAAAGGGCUCGUAGGUGGCCAACUAAGUCAGACGUGAAAUCCCUAGGCUCAACCUAGGAACUGCGUCUGAUACUGGAUGGCUUGAAUCCGGGAGAGGGAUGCAGAAUUCCAGGUGUAGCGGUGAAAUGCGUAGAUAUCUGGAGGAAUACCGGUGGCGAAGGCGGCAUCCUGGACCGGCAUUGACGCUGAGGAGCGAAAGCUAGGGGAGCAAACGGG